AACGCACGAGACCUGCGGACCUGCGGAAGGAUCAUUGAACAUUGUACCGCGCUCGCUCGCGGGCCAGGGAGCACCCCCUCUGGGGGGCGCCCUUCCUGAAUCCCCUGUCUUUGUCGCACCUCACGUUUCCUCGGUGGGCUCGCCCAUCAGUGGACCAUUUUCAAAACCCCUUUUUUGCAGUACCUGCAGUAAACGUCACACAAAACACAAUAAAAUCAAAACUUUCAACAACGGAUCUCU
rnacentral:misc_RNA from 1 species